AAGUCGUAACAAGGUUUCCGUAGGUGAACCUGCGGAAGGAUCAUUACACAUAGCGAGAGUCCGGAAGAUAGUCCCCCUGUAGCAAAAAUUACGGGGGGUAGGACUCUUGCCCCGAGCAAUCGGGUCACCCUGCUUUUUGGGCACCAUUUGUUUCCUCGGCGGGCUUGCCCGCCAACGGGGACCCCCUAAAACCUCUGUAAUGAGUAGUAACUGUCAGUAAAGAUAAAAAUUAUCACAACUUUCAACAAUGGAUCUCUUGGCUCUG
rnacentral:misc_RNA from 1 species